rnacentral:sRNA from 1 species
AUUUGCAAAUGGAGAUCAGAAACCAUUGAAUCUGGGAACCUCUUUUUUUCAGGGUCUCUGGUAAGAAGAGUGAAAGCAAAGAAGCCAAGAAAUCUGAAGAACCAAGAAUUCGGAAGAAGCCGGGACCCAAGCCCGGAUGGAAGAAGAAGCUUCGUUGUGAGAGGUGAUGCCUGGAACGCGAGGCUCGCCCUGCCUGUCGGGGCCGGGGCUCCAUGCAUGCUCUUCAUUGCAGGGAGGAGCUUCCCACCAUCUACAAGUGUCCUUACCAGGGCUGCACAGCCGUGUAUCGAGGCGCUGACGGCAUGAAGAAGCACAUCAAGGAGCAUCAUGAGGAGGUCCGGGAGCGGCCCUGCCCCCAUCCUGGCUGCAACAAGGUUUUCAUGAUUGAUCGCUACCUGCAGCGCCACGUGAAGCUCAUCCACACAGAGGUGCGGAACUACAUCUGUGACGAGUGUGGACAAACCUUCAAGCAGCGGAAGCACCUUCUCGUCCACCAAAUGCGAC